AACAACUGGGAACAGGGAGGU
rnacentral:piRNA from 1 species